rnacentral:miRNA from 1 species
CAAUAGACCUUUUUUCUCUCACAGUUCUGGAGGCUGGAAGUCCGAGAUCAAGGUGCCGGCAGCUUUGGUUUCUCCUGAGGCCUCUCUCCUUGGCUUCUAGACAGCCGCCUUCUCCCUGUGUCCUCACAUGGUCU